ensembl:snRNA U6 U6 spliceosomal RNA
UUGCCCACUUCAGAAGCACAUAUAUUAAAACUAGAAAGAUACAAAGAUUAGCACGGCCCCUACAUAAGAAUGAGAUGACAUGCAAACCUGUGAAGUGUUGCAUAUUUUU